AGCAAGGGAUUUCUAAAUCUAAUAUUACUCUUUGUAAGCAGGAUCAAGAAUAGAUGCAGUUGCAUGAAACCCGAUUGUUUUACCAAAUGAUGAAAUAAGAGCUUGCUGUGGAUUUCGGCGCACUGGAUUUCUUCAGGAAAUUGAGAGCUGCAGAUAUCCACUUGGACAUCUGACAGGCAUCCACCAUGGCCGAUGAUGGCAAUACCGCGGAGGGGGUUCAGUUAGUAGGAGAUCCUAGAACGGCACCAGGCCAAGGAGAUAAAGCAAGCAAGAAAGACGUUGACUGGGGCAGGUUUGGGCUGAGCGAUGAAAGCCAUGCCAAGUCCUACACAGAAAGCACGUUGACGGGAUAUGGUGGAGAUGGUGGGUACCAGCAGGGGGAGGGUGGACAAAAGAUUCAAGAGCUCUUUGAUGAACAGCAGGUAAGCUUCUCUUUCUGUUUUAUACAAGCAAAUGAAACCAGUUGAAUUCAGCUGGUUUCAGUUGAACUGGUUGAAAUGAAACCAAUUUUGAGAAAAUCCAGAGCAAAAGUUGAUGUUUUUAUCGGCUCAAGUGUCAGGACAAUGGACCCCCAUCCUACAACUCCCCCUAUUUACAUUUUCAUAACUUUCUCUUAUAAAUAUCUAUCACAAGAUCUUUGAUGUCACACAUGUACUUGUAACUUCCCCAUUCCAUAUUCCACUUAAUCUAUCCAUUAAUGCUAAACUAGUAUAAAGACUUUCCAAUUGCUCCUAAAAUUUGGCACAAACAUUCAUCUUGGGUAAGGACAUGCAAGAUUCACUUUCCAAGUGUGUUAGAAAAUGGGUUGCUAUUGUAAUGACAUAGGGCGGGUGUAUUACUCAUCUUUAGUGGUAUUUCUAGUUUCAACCUGUCACUAGCAAAUGCUGGGUUCCACUUCUUAUUUCAGAUUUUAUAAGAUUUUUUUUUUCAAUCUUACUCUCACACCCACAAAACAUGCACCAUGGGCAAGGUCAUAAAAACAGCGUAAAGAGAAAGUUAACUGUGUGACAGCAAUUUUGUAGCUGAAAACAGGUGGUGGCCAUAGACAUGGUCACCAAUUUUUUUCUGUGGAAGGUGUGCGGAUGUAUCGAUAGCGAUAUUUAUUUAUUUAUUUCAGUUUUAUUUACGUAGGGUAGCCUUUUCAGUUAUAGAAAUGAUUUACAAAGAGUCCCUGUGAUAACGACAUACGGUCACAUUGUCUAUACAUGAAAUGGUCUUGGCUCGUGAUUUGAUCGCUCAAGUAUCAGUUGAAAAUCAUUGAGAUGUGGCAAUUUCAUGCAUAUUCAUGCGACGCACUGAAACCCGGAAAUCAAUUGACUUUUUUGCACGUUGUGAUAGGUUAUAUAAACGCUAGCAAACACAAAGCACUAUCGACGCUACAUGUACUUCUUAAGAUUUUGAGUUGAUGGAAAAGCAAGAAGUAAUCAAAAUGUACCAGGUGCGGUAUCGGUAAGAAAAUAGAUCCUCUGCAGAUCCUCUAAAAAUACCUCUCGUAAAUCAAUAUAGGAAAGUGAAAAUUCUAUGUUGAUUUUGCAGCUGUGUUUGAUGGAGUACUGUGUGAAGCCCUGAUAGGGGUGUACUGCACAUGUAUGCAGACUAUAUUUUAAUUCAUGAAUAAAACAGGUCACGGUUUAUAGUAAAUCAACUUUUCUCAAUGACCUUUGCGAUAAUAUCGCAUUAGGAUGAGCACAUACAUGUAUGCAUUUUUUCAAGUAUUUUCAAAUGAAGAUGUUGCGUAAGAUUUCCCCGCAAAGCAUUCAAAUUCUAAGAUCGAAAGCUAUUCUACAUGUAUAGAUCAGGGGCCCAUUUCAUAAAGAGUUACAACUGUUGUAAUUUUGCCACUAUGGCAACUACCAUGGUAACCUUGAUUUUGAUUGGCUGCUGAGCCCUGUUGCCAUGGUAGUUGCCAUAAUGGCGGAAGUUGCAACAGUUGUAACUCUUUAUGAAAUGGGACCCUGGUGACUAGAAUAGUAAUUGAUUCGGCUUGGGCUUGGUUUGAGGCUGUAUGGUUGAGAUAGUACUAUUCACUGACUGGUGGACUAUUUUUGUGGUUUAUUCGUAAUAAUGUGUUAUAUUAUGAAGGGGGUACAGCCAGUUGAGAAGUGGGAUAGGGACUGCGAAUGUUCAUGUACAUGUAGCUGAAGGGGAAAUAGUCUAGAGAGAUUCAUAAAGGUCAAGUCCACCCCAGAAAAGUUUAUUUGAAUAAAUACAGAAAAAAAUCAAAUUAGCAUAACGUUGAAAAUUUCAUCAAAAUCGGAUGAAAAAUAAGAAAGUUACGGCAUUUUAAAGUUUUGCUUAUUUUUCACAAAACAGUGAUAUGCCCAACUCAGUGACAUGCAAAUGAGUCAGUCGAUGAUGUCCAUCACUUACUAUUUCUUUUGUUUUUUAUUGUUUGAAUCAUACAAUAUUUCAAUACAAAUUUGACAAUAAGUACCAACUUGACUGAACCAUAUACAUGUAGUAUUAAGCAAUUCUAAUUCCACGUGUUCAAGGAGGAAUUAAUCGUUUCACUUGACAAUGUGGAGAAAAUUAGAAUAUUUCAUAUAAUAAGAUACAAAAGAAAUAGUGAGUGAAUGACGUCAUCAGUCUCCUCAUUUGCAUACCGACCAGGAUGUGAAUAUAACUGUUUUGUGAAAUUAAGCGAAACUUUAAAAUGUCAUAACUUUCUUAUUUUACAUCCGAUUUUUUGAUGAAAUUUUCAGUGUUAUGCUUGUUAGAUUUUUUUCUUUUUAUUCAAAUCAACUUUUUGUUGGGGUGGACUUGUCCUUUAACAAUUCCAGAGUCCAUUUAGUAGUUUCUAUUUAGAUAUAUCAAUCAAAUAUGCAGGGGUCUGAUGGGUUUACUGUCUACAGCAACUUGAUUAUCAGCGGUUGUUAAGGAUGAACGUUUGCUUCAUGGUCGUGAUAAGAACAACAUGUAUACAUUGGAUGAUUUCAAGUCCUGCUUUUGAAAUCUGGUGUGGUGUUUUAGCAGCACCAACACCAGCCACAACACCCUAUUCGAAGUCAAAAUGAGACUGGUGUUGGAAUUUUACUCAGAAACCAUGUAUCCCAGUUGUAAUGAUUAAAGCCUGAGUUGAUUAUCGAUUAUUUUGUUAACCGGUGUUCGACAGCUUUAAUUUGAUCGAACAUCGACGCAUCAAAUUUUGAAGUGGGGGGAAUCAAUUGAUUUUUUUUUUGCUCCAACAAUGCACACAAUAGGCACUGCAUGUGAGGGGUUAGCGUUGCAAAAGCAAAUGAUCGACAGAGCAAAGUGCAUUUUUAUCUUCCAUGAUCAC